rnacentral:rRNA from 1 species
GAUGAACGCUAGCUACAGGCUUAACACAUGCAAGUCGAGGGGCAGCAUGGUCUUAGCUUGCUAAGGCCGAUGGCGACCGGCGCACGGGUGAGUAACACGUAUCCAACCUGCCGUCUACUCUUGGACAGCCUUCUGAAAGGAAGAUUAAUACAAGAUGGCAUCAUGAGUCCGCAUGUUCACAUGAUUAAAGGUAUUCCGGUAGACGAUGGGGAUGCGUUCCAUUAGAUAGUAGGCGGGGUAACGGCCCACCUAGUCUUCGAUGGAUAGGGGUUCUGAGAGGAAGGUCCCCGACAUUGGAACUGAGACACGGUCCAAACUCCUACGGGAAGCAGCAGUGAGGAAUAUUGGUCAAUGAGCGAGAGCCUGAACCAGCCAAGUAGCGUGAAGGAUGCCUGGCCUAUGGGUUGUAAACUUCUUUUAUAAAGGAAUAAAGUCGGGUAUGGAUACCCGUUUGCAUGUACUUGAUGAAUAAGGAUCGGCUAACUCCGU